rnacentral:rRNA from 1 species
UGGUGAACCAGCGGAGGGAUCAUUACAGAGUUGCAAAACUCCCUAAACCAUCGCGAACGUUACCCCUACCGUUGCUUCGGCGGGCGGCUCCGCCCCGGAGCCGCAGCCCCCCCGGGGGCGCCCGCCGGCGGCACUACAAACUCUUUUUUAUUACAGGCCUCUCUGAGUAAUUUAUACAAAUAAGUUAAAACUUUCAACAACGGAUCUCUUGGUUCUGGCAUCGAUGAAGAACGCAGCGAAAUGCGAUAAGUAAUGUGAAUUGCAGAAUUCAGUGAAUCAUCGAAUCUUUGAACGCACAUUGCGCCCGCCAGUAUUCUGGCGGGCAUGCCUGUUCGAGCGUCAUUUCAACCAUCAAGCCCCCGGCUUGUGUUGGGGCCCUGCGGCUGCCGCAGGCCCUUAAAAACAGUGGCGGGCUCGCUGUCACACCGAGCGUAGUAAUACAUCUCGCUUUGGACGUGCAGCGGGUUCUUGCCGUGAAACACCCCCCCUUCUCAAGGUUGACCUCGGAUCAGGUAGGA